rnacentral:lncRNA from 1 species
AGGAGCCUGCAGACCCAAUGACUCCAACUGCAUGCACUUGUGACUCUGCCUGCGGGCCUUCUCUGACCUGGUCAGAAACCUGGAGCGAUAGUGCCCUGAGAGUAGACCUCAAGCCAAGACUGAUGCGAACUGAAGCAAGAAAGUACCUUCUUUACCACUCAGGCUUUCUGGUAACUGAUUCUCCCGCUCAUAAACGCCUACAGGGAGCAGAGAGAGCAAAAUUUCCCAACAGGUGUUCUGCAGCCUAAGCCAUAAACGGGCUGCAGAUGUGUUAAUAUGCUGUGCUCUGUAAUUGUCUGAGUAGGUCUGGAGGAAGCUAAACCCUGCAGGAUGGUCACUCCACACCAGGAAUAGGUUGAAAAAGUUUGCACAAAGGAACCUUUCCACAGAAAAGAAAAUCAUGGACAUGGAGAACAGACUUGUGGUUGUCAAGGGGGAAGAGUAUAUUUAGAUUUAGAAACACUGCCAAAUCAUCUUCUUUGCAUCUCCACCACCAAUAAGUGAGAGUUCCUGUUGCUCCACAUCCUCACCAGUAUUUGGCAUUUGAAUUUUAGGUAUGUAGUGGUAUAUCAUUAUUAUUUUAAUUCACAAUUCUCUAAUGACAUUUAAUGUUGACCAUAUUUUCCUAAGCUUAUUUGCCACUUAUAUAACUUCUUUGAUAAGGUGCCUGUUCCAAAUCUUUUGCCCCUUUUAAAAUCAGGUUGCUUGUCUUACUGUUGAAUUUUAAGAGUUCUUUGUAUAUUUUGGAUACUGGCCCUUUAUCAGAUAUGUGUUUUGCAAAUAUUUUCUCUCGGGCUGUGGCUUGUCUUUUCAUUCUGUUAACAUACUUUUCACAGAUCAGAAUUUUUUUUUAUCUUAAUGGAGUCCUACUUACCUAUUUUUUUUUCAUUGAUCUGAAAGAAAAAAAAUGGUUAAGCCUUGUAUCUAAGAAAUUAUUGCCAAUCCCAAGCUCCCCUAGAUUUUCUCCUGUUAAUCCUCUAGCACUUUUAUAGUUUGCAUUUUACAUUUAAAUCUAAGAUACCCUUUGAAUUAAUAUUUUUGCAUGUGAAGACCUGUUAUUAUAGCACCAUCUGUUGAAAAGAUUAUCCUUUCUCCACUGGAUUGUCUUUGUUCCGAUGUCAGAGAUCUGUUGACUGUUUGGGUCUAUUUCUGGGAUCUCUGCUGUUCCUCUGAACUACGUAUCCUUUUUUUUUUUUAUUUUGCAGUGGGGAAGGCAUUGCAAUAUCACAUUGCCUUGAUCACUGUAGCUUUAUAUUAAAUCUCAAAGUCAGAUAGUGUUCUGAAUUUUUUCUUCUCCUUUAAAUAUUUUUUUUUUUGGCUUUUCUGAUUCUUUUACAUUUCCAUGUAAACUUGAGAUUAAGGUUGUUAACAUCCCCAAACUAAGAUCUUGAUUGGGAUUGUGCUACAUUUAUAGCUCAAGCUGGGAAGAACUGACAACUUGAAAAUAUUGAGUCUUCCUAUUUGUGUACAUGAAAUAUCUCUCCAUAUAUUUAGAUAUUACUUAAUUUCUCUCAUUAGAGUUUUGUAGUUUAUCUCACAUUUUGUUAGAUUUAUACUGAAGUGGGUGUUUUUUUGUUUUUUUUUUUUUUGGUGCUGAUAUAAAAGAUACUGUGUUAUUUCAAAUCCCAGUUUUUCAUUGCUGGUAUAUAAGAAAGCAAUUGACUUCUGUGUAUUAACUUUGUCUCCAACAACCUUCUUAUAAUUGCUCAUUACUCCCUAAAUUUUUUAUUGUUGAUUCUUUUACAUUUUUUAUAUGGACAGUCACAUCAUCUGUGAACAAAAAUAGUUUUAUUUCUUCUUUCCCAGUCUGUAUACUUUUUAUUUCCUUUUUCUGUCUUGUCGCAUUAGCUAGGAGUUUCAAUACAAUGUUGACUAGGAGUGGUGAAAGUAGAUACAUUCACCUUCUUCCUGAUCUUAGGGAGAAAGUAUCUAGAGUUUCACCAUUAAAUAAUAUAUUAGCUAGGAAGUUUUUAUAGAUGUGCUAUAUCAAGUUGAGGAAGUUCCUCUCUAUUCCUAGUUUGCUCAGAGUUUUUAUCAUGAAUGGGUGUUGGACUGUCACAGGACUUUUCUGUAUCUACUGAUAUGAUUAUGUGAUUUUUCUUUUUUACCCUAUUGAUAUGACAGAUUAUAUUGAUUGAUUUUUGAAUGCUGAACUAACCUUGCAUUCCUGUAUUAAAUCCCAUUUGAGCACAGUGGUGUAUAAUUCUCUUUAUACAUUGCAUGAUUUGAUUUAUUAAUAUUUUGUUGGAAGUUUUUGCAUCUCUAUUAAUGAAAGUUAUUGGUCUGUAGUUUCCCUUUCUUGUAAUGUCUUUGUCUGAUUUUAGUAUUAUAGCAAUUCCGGUCUCAUAGAAUGAGAGGCACUAUUCUCUCUGCUUCUAUUUUAUGGAAGAGAUUGUAGCGAAUUGAUAUAAUUUCUUCCUUAAAUGUUUGGUAGGAGUCUCCAAUAAACUCAUCUAAGUCAGGUGCUUUGGGAUUUGGCAGGUUAUUAACUAUUCAUUUAACUAUUAAUAGAUAAAUCUCUGUUCAGAUUGUCUAUUUCUUCUUAUGCAAAUUUUGGUAGUUUGUGUCUUUCAAGGUGUCUUUCAAGGAGUUGGUCCAUUUCACCGAAGUUGUCAAUUUGUUGGCAUAGAGUUGUCCAUAAUAUUCCUUUCUUAUCCUUUUAAUGCCUAUGGAAUCAAUAGUGAUAGCCCCUCUUUCUUUUCUGAUAUUAGUUAUUUGUGUCCUCUCUCUUUUUUUCUUUACUAGCCUAGCUAGAGGUUUAUUGAUUUUUAUUGAUCAUUUCAAAGCUUUUGGUUUUGGUGAAUUUCAAUUUCAUUGAUUUUUGUUCUAGUUUUUAUUAUUUAUUUUCUUAUUGUUUUGUGUUUAAUUUUUCUCUUUUUCUAGUUCUUUAAGGUGGAAUCCUAGACUAUUGAUUAUUUAGAUCUAUUUUCUCUUCUAAUAUGUUCAUUCAAUGCUAUAAAAUUCCCUCAAAGCUCUGCUUGUGCUUUAUUCCACAAAAUCUUGGUAAGUAGUAUUUUCAUCUUCACUUAGUUCAAAAUGUGUGUAAGUUUCUCCUGAAAUUUAUUCCUUGAUUAAUGUGUUAUUUGGGGAUGUGUUCAUUUAAGUCCAAAUAUCUGGGUGAUUUUCCAACUAUAUUUUACUGAUCUCUAGUUUAAUUUGACCAAGGUCUGAGAAUAUACUUUGUAAGAUUUCUGUAUUUUUUUCUUUUUUAAUGUUUUUUUCCAGUAUAGCUGGUAGAUUUCUGUCUUUAAAUAUCUCUUAAGGUGUGUCUUAUGGCUCAGAAAUGUGAUCUUGGUGAAUGUUCUAGGUUAGUGAGGAGAAUAUGUAUCCUGUUGUAGUCAGAUGGAGCAUUUUAAAAAUGUGAGAUUCCUUUGAUUGAUGGUGCUAUUCAGGUCAACUCUAUCUUUAUUUAAAUUCUGCUUACUUGAUCUCUAAAUUACUUGAAAGAGGGGUACUGAAGUCUCCUCCUACAAUAGUGUAUUUGUCUAUUUAUUCUUUCAUUUCCAACAUUUUUUUCCUCAUAUAUUUUGAUACCCUGUUAUUAGGUGCAUACAGGUUUAGGAUGGUUAUGAGUUUUGAUAUAAAUAUAUUCUAACUAGAAAGUCAAGAGUAAUCAUGUAAGAUUAAUUCAAGAUUUAACAAAUCAAAUAUAAGAUGACCUAUCAUCUACAACCUCAAAAUAAUAUUCAUAGUUUCAUCAACUGUAUUCUAUAGAGGAAAAAGGAAAAGAGGAGAUGUAUGACUCUUGAAGCAACUGGUCCUAAGUCUGAUGUGAAGAAUUUCUGGUGAAACACUUGGAAAGAAUGGAUAAGGCCCCUAUCAUGUUACAUAAUGCUCCAAAAGGUUAUACUGAUAAGAUAAAGAUGGGUGCUAUCAUGAUGCUCCCUCUACAAAUAAAGACAUCUUUAUUAAAUCAAAUAUUAAUUUGAACCUCAGGUUAUAAGUGUACAUAAUUCAUUUAUUUUAAAGGUACUUAGAAUUGAUUAUCAUACAGUAAUUGCAUAAAAGCCUGUACAACCCAGAUGUACUGGAGGAAAGACAUCUUAAGCUUGGGAAAGUUAUCUAAUGUCUACCAGUGAUGUGUAAUAGUGAUGUCUAUUGGUUACCUCCCCCUAAAUAACAUCUCUUAUAAUACAACUACCUACUAGUCUAUUAGUGACAAACACUCAGAGAAGCUCUAGAAGUAGUAUUUGAGAUGUAGAAAAUGUGGACUCAGAGCAGCUACAAAGUUUGGCUCUCAAGAGAAAGUCCCAGAGAUCUAACCAUAUCAUUGCAUUGUGAUGCAAAACUGGACUAAUUGCUUAUUCAGAAUAUUCAAUUGAAGCUUUCUAAAGGUCUGAAUUUUCUAGUUCGUCAUUUAGAAAACAGGAGCACAGGGAAAGAGUCCACUACAUCUAACAUUAAUAAAAUUCAUAUCAAGACUCUGGCUUAUGCCAAAGAUGGAAUAAGAGUGGCCAGUUUUCCCUGCCACUUCUAGCAACUCUACCACCAUCCAACCCGAAAAAAAAA